GUUUGUAAGCAAGCUACUAAUAACACCUACGCAAAUUUUACAAACAAAACAUUCAAAAGAGAUUUCUCAGGAAUUCAGUCACUACUACCACCCACAACGAGUCACUUUCAGGGCACUUGACCAUUUAACAUCCUACUACUAUCAUGGCAUCCCCGCAUUCUUC